rnacentral:rRNA from 1 species
UCAAGUAAUUAAGUGCAUGUGGUGGAUGCCUUGGCAGUCAGAGGCGAUGAAAGACGUGAUAGCCUGCGAAAAGCUCCGGGGAGGCGGCAAAUAUCCUUUGAUCCGGAGAUGUCUGAAUGGGGAAACCCACCUACUUUAAGGUAGGUAUUGCAACAUGAAUACAUAGUGUUGCAAGGCGAACGAGGGGAAGUGAAACAUCUCAGUACCCUUAGGAAAAGAAAUCAAUUGAGAUUCCCUCAGUAGCGGCGAGCGAACGGGGAUCAGCCCAUUAAGUUAUGUGUGUUUUAGUGGAACGCUCUGGGAAGUGCGAACGUAGAGGGUGAUAUUCCCGUACACGAAAGGGCACACAUAAUGAUGACGAGUAGGGCGAGGCACGUGAAACCUUGUCUGAAUAUGGGGGACCAUCCUCCAAGGCUAAAUACUCCUGACUGACCGAUAGUGAACCAGUACCGUGAGGGAAAGGCGAAAAGAACCCCUGUGAGGGGAGUGAAAUAGAUCCUGAAACCGCAUGCAUACAAGCAGUGGGAGCACCUUCGUGGUGUGACUGCGUACCUUUUGUAUAAUGGGUCAGCGACUUAUAUUCAGUAGCAAGGUUAACCGUAUAGGGGAGCCGUAGAGAAAUCGAGUCUUAAUAGGGCGUUUAGUUGCUGGGUAUAGACCCGAAACCAGGCGAUCUAUCCAUGAGCAGGUUGAAGGUUGGGUAACACUAACUGGAGGACCGAACCCACUGUCGUUGAAAAGCCAGGGGAUGACUUGUGGAUAGGGGUGAAAGGCUAAUCAAGCCUGGUGAUAGCUGGUUCUCCCCGAAAGCUAUUUAGGUAGCGCCUCGGACGAAUACCAUAGGGGGUAGAGCACUGUUUCGGCUAGGGGGUCAUCCCGACUUACCAAACCGAUGCAAACUCCGAAUACCUAUGAGUACUAUCCGGGAGACAGACUGCGGGUGCUAACGUCCGUAGUCAAGAGGAAAACAAUCCAGACCGCCAGCUAAGGCCCCAAAAUCAUAGUUAAGUGGGAAACGAUGUGGGAAGGCAUAGACAGCUAGGAGGUUGGCUUAGAAGCAGCCACCCUUUAAAGAAAGCGUAAUAGCUCACUAGUCGAGUCGGCCUGCGCGGAAGAUGUAACGGGGCUAAAACUAUGUGCCGAAGCUGCGGAUGUAUACUUUGUAUACGUGGUAGGGGAGCGUUCUGUAAGCCGAUGAAGGUGUGUUGAGAAGCAUGCUGGAGGUAUCAGAAGUGCGAAUGCUGACGUGAGUAACGACAAAACGGGUGAAAAACCCGUUCGCCGAAAGACCAAGGGUUCCAGUCCAACGUUAAUCGGGGCUGGGUGAGUCGACCCCUAAGGCGAGGCCGAAAGGCGUAGUCGAUGGGAAAAUGGUUAAUAUUCCAUUACUUCUGUGUAAUGCGAUGAGAGGACGGAGAAGGCUAAAUCAGCCUGGCGUUGGUUGUCCAGGUGAAAGGAUGUAGGCAUGUAUCUUAGGCAAAUCCGGGGUACUCUAUGCUGAGAUCUGAUAGCAAGCUGUACUUGUACAGCGAAGUGGUUGAUGCCAUGCUUCCAGGAAAAGUCUCUAAGCUUCAGUUACACAGGAAUCGUACCCGAAACCGACACAGGUGGUCAGGUCGAGUAGACCAAGGCGCUUGAGAGAACUCUGCUGAAGGAACUAGGCAAAAUGGUACCGUAACUUCGGGAGAAGGUACGCUGUUGUUGGUGAUGGAACUCGCUUCCUGAGCUGACGACAGCCGCAGAAACCAGGCCGCUGCAACUGUUUAUUAAAAACAUAGCACUCUGCAAACACGAAAGUGGACGUAUAGGGUGUGAUGCCUGCCCGGUGCUGGAAGGUUAAUUGAUGGGGUUAGCGUAAGCGAAGCUCUUGAUCGAAGCCCCAGUAAACGGCGGCCGUAACUAUAACGGUCCUAAGGUAGCGAAAUUCCUUGUCGGGUAAGUUCCGACCUGCACGAAUGGCAUAAUGAUGGCGGCGCUGUCUCCAGCAGAGGCUCAGUGAAAUCGAAAUCGCUGUGAAGAUGCAGUGUACCCGCGGCUAGACGGAAAGACCCCGUGAACCUUUACUGCAGCUUGACACUGAACUUUGACCUUACUUGUGUAGGAUAGGUGGGAGGCUUUGAAGCUGGAACGCUAGUUCCAGUGGAGCCGUCCUUGAAAUACCACCCUGGUAAUGUUGAGGUUCUAACUCUGUCCCGUGAUCCGGGACGAGGACCGUGUCUGGUGGGUAGUUUGACUGGGGCGGUCUCCUCCUAAAGAGUAACGGAGGAGUACGAAGGUGCGCUCAGCGUGGUCGGAAAUCACGCGUAGAGUAUAAAGGCAAAAGCGCGCUUAACUGCGAGACCCACAAGUCGAGCAGGUACGAAAGUAGGUCUUAGUGAUCCGGUGGUUCUGUAUGGAAGGGCCAUCGCUCAACGGAUAAAAGGUACUCUGGGGAUAACAGGCUGAUACCGCCCAAGAGUUCAUAUCGACGGCGGUGUUUGGCACCUCGAUGUCGGCUCAUCUCAUCCUGGGGCUGAAGCAGGUCCCAAGGGUAUGGCUGUUCGCCAUUUAAAGAGGUACGCGAGCUGGGUUUAGAACGUCGUGAGACAGUUCGGUCCCUAUCUACCGUGGGCGCUGGAAAUUUGAGAGGAUCUGCUCCUAGUACGAGAGGACCAGAGUGGACGAACCUCUGGUGUACCGGUUGUGACGCCAGUCGCAUCGCCGGGUAGCUAUGUUCGGAAGGGAUAACCGCUGAAAGCAUCUAAGCGGGAAGCCUACCUCAAGAUAAGAUUUCCCUAGGACUUUAUGUCCUCUAAAGAGCCGUUCGAGACUAGGACGUUGAUAGGUUGGAUGUGGAAGCAUAGUGAUAUGUGAAGCUGACCAAUACUAAUUGCUCGUGAGGCUUGACUAU